rnacentral:rRNA from 1 species
UAGGGAAUUUUCCACAAUGGGGGCAACCCUGAUGGAGCAACGCCGCGUGCAGGAUGAAGGUUUUCGGAUCGUAAACUGCUUUUAUUUGUGACGAUUAUGACAGUAGCAAAUGAAUAAGGGUCGGCUAACUACGUGCCAGCAGCCGCGGUCAUACGUAGGACCCGAGCGUUAUCCGGAAUUAUUGGGCGUAAAGAGUUGCGUAGGUGGUUUGUUAAGUAACUAGUGAAAGCGUGUCGCUCAACGACAUAUACAUUAGUUAAACUGGCAGACUUGAGUGCGAUAGAGGUAUCUGGAAUUCCCAGUGUAGGAGUGAAAUCCGUAGAUAUUGGGAGGAACACCAAUGGCGUAGGCAGGAUACUGGAUCGCAACUGACACUGAGGCACGAAAGCAUGGGGAGCAAACGGG